UCCUAGCUAUGUUGCUUGGAGGUUUUUCCAAGAAAAUCUGUGAAGACAGCAUCAUGGACUACACUCUUGUCUAUAAAUUACAGCUUAUUUGAUUUGCUGUAUGAAAUUCAACAGAAAUAGAUGGUAGCUAUAAAAGAUGUGUGGGAAGCUCUUUUGCGAAUGCUAAAUCUGUGGUGUAACUAAAUUAUAGAUAAGCUAUUCUCA
rnacentral:sRNA from 19 species